rnacentral:rRNA from 1 species
AGUAACACGUGGGUAACCUGCCUGUAAGACUGGGAUAACUCCGGGAAACCGGGGCUAAUACCGGAUGCUUGAUUGAACCGCAUGGUUCAAUCAUAAAAGGUGGCUUUUAGCUACCACUUACAGAUGGACCCGCGGCGCAUUAGCUAGUUGGUGAGGUAACGGCUCACCAAGGCGACGAUGCGUAGCCGACCUGAGAGGGUGAUCGGCCACACUGGGACUGAGACACGGCCCAGACUCCUACGGGAGGCAGCAGUAGGGAAUCUUCCGCAAUGGACGAAAGUCUGACGGAGCAACGCCGCGUGAGUGAUGAAGGUUUUCGGAUCGUAAAACUCUGUUGUUAGGGAAGAACAAGUACCGUUCGAAUAGGGCGGCACCUUGACGGUACCUAACCAGAAAGCCACGGCUAACUACGUGCCAGCAGCCGCGGUAAUACGUAGGUGGCAAGCGUUGUCCGGAAUUAUUGGGCGUAAAGCGCGCGCAGGCGGUUUCUUAAGUCUGAUGUGAAAGCCCCCGGCUCAACCGGGGAGGGUCAUUGGAAACUGGGGAACUUGAGUGCAGAAGAGGAGAGUGGAAUUCCACGUGUAGCGGUGAAAUGCGUAGAGAUGUGGAGGAACACCAGUGGCGAAGGCGACUCUCUGGUCUGUAACUGACGCUGAGGCGCGAAAGCGUGGGGAGCGAACAGGAUUAGAUACCCUGGUAGUCCACGCCGUAAACGAUGAGUGCUAAGUGUUAGAGGGUUUCCGCCCUUUAGUGCUGCAGCAAACGCAUUAAGCACUCCGCCUGGGGAGUACGGUCGCAAGACUGAAACUCAAAGGAAUUGACGGGGGCCCGCACAAGCGGUGGAGCAUGUGGUUUAAUUCGAAGCAACGCGAAGAACCUUACCAGGUCUUGACAUCCUCUGACAACCCUAGAGAUAGGGCUUCCCCUUCGGGGGCAGAGUGACAGGUGGUGCAUGGUUGUCGUCAGCUCGUGUCGUGAGAUGUUGGGUUAAGUCCCGCAACGAGCGCAACCCUUGAUCUUAGUUGCCAGCAUUCAGUUGGGCACUCUAAGGUGACUGCCGGUGACAAACCGGAGGAAGGUGGGGAUGACGUCAAAUCAUCAUGCCCCUUAUGACCUGGGCUACACACGUGCUACAAUGGGCAGAACAAAGGGCAGCGAAGCCGCGAGGCUAAGCCAAUCCCACAAAUCUGUUCUCAGUUCGGAUCGCAGUCUGCAACUCGACUGCGUGAAGCUGGAAUCGCUAGUAAUCGCGGAUCAGCAUGCCGCGG